UACGUGAGGGCGCAAGCGUUGUCCGGAAUUAUUGGGCGUAAAGAGCUCGUAGGCGGUUUGUCGCGUCUGCCUGUGAAAACCUAAGGCUCAACCUUGGGCUUGCAGUGGGUACGGGCAGACGUAGAGUGCGGUAGGGGUGACUGGAAUUCCUGGUGAUGAGCGGUGGAAUGCGCAGAUAGUCAGGAGGAACACCGGUGGCGAAGGCGGGAUCCUGGGCCAGUACGUGAACGGCUGACGGAGCGAAAGCGUGGGGAGCGAACAGG
rnacentral:rRNA from 1 species